rnacentral:lncRNA from 1 species
GACAACCAUCACUGCAGGAUCUUACCACACUGCCUGGUACGUUUUUUUUUUUGCGGCACAAACUACACAGCCACCACAAGCAUGGGCCAUCUCAGUUUCCACUCCUCACCAUGUUGCCACAUCCACCGCCACAACCACCACAUCCACCACAACCCCCACAACCACCACUAUUUCCACUCUUCAUUGUGUCACCACACCCACUGUCACCAGAGUUUCCACUCCUCACCAUGUUGCCACAUCCACCGCCACAUCCACCGCCACAUCCACCACAACCACCACUAUUUCCACUCUUCAUUGUGUCACCACACCCACUGUCACCAGAGUUUCCACUCACCAUGUCCCCGCAUCCACUGCCACAACCACCACAACCACCACCACAGUUUCCACUCCUCACCAUGUCCCCGCAUCCACUGCCACAACCGCCACAACCGCCACCACAAUUUCCACUCCUCACUAUGCUUCCUUUAGCCACGUCCACAUUCAGCUCCAUGUUACCUUCUGAAGCAGCAGUCAGGCUGAUUUGCUCAGGUUCCUCAUGAAAGCCUUUGGCCUUUUCCACUAAACUAUCUACCUCCAGAUUUUCUCUGUUAGAAGUGAAGCCAUUAUAUCCUUCCUUCUUCAAAAUAUCAGAAAGUAUGAAGGCUGAUAUGAUUGCAGGUAACACCAACCAUGAUUCCUUUACCU